CGAAGAUUUCAGAGAAAUUAGGACCCCCUGUUUGAAUCUGAUGUAGAUCUACUAUAGCGUCAGGACUAUUUUCAUUCUCACACACAAAUAGUUUAGUUGCUUGUUUCUGUUUGAUGCCUCGGUAUAUUCUUUUCUCCACAUUUGAAGCAUAGAUGAUUAGUCUUUCUAUAUUCAUAAACCUCGAAGCUCAAUCUAUAAAUGCUUGCUCUAUUAGCUGGCAUGGUGG
rnacentral:lncRNA from 1 species